rnacentral:rRNA from 1 species
GAUGAACGCUGGCGGCGUGCUUAACACAUGCAAGUCGAGCGGAAAGGCCACUUCGGUGGUACUCGAGCGGCGAACGGGUGAGUAACACGUGAGUAAUCUGCCCCUGGCUUUGGGAUAGCCACCGGAAACGGUGAUUAAUACCGGAUAUGACAACUUGUUGCAUGAUGGGUUGUGGAAAGUUUUUCGGCCAGGGAUGUGCUCGCGGCCUAUCAGCUUGAUGGUGAGGUAAUGGCUCACCAUGGCUUCGACGGGUAGCCGGCCUGAGAGGGUGACCGGCCACACUGGGACUGAGACACGGCCCAGACUCCUACGGGAGGCAG